rnacentral:rRNA from 1 species
UACGGAGGGUGCAAGCGUUAUCCGGAUUUAUUGGGUUUAAAGGGUGCGCAGGCGGAUUGUUAAGUCAGGGGUGAAAUCCUACAGCUCAACUGUAGAACUGCCUUUGAUACUGGCGAUCUAGAGUAUAGUUGAAGUGGGCGGAAUGUGUCAUGUAGCGGUGAAAUGCUUAGAUAUGACACAGAACACCGAUAGCGAAGGCAGCUCACUAAGUUAUUACUGACGCUCAUGCACGAAAGCGUGGGGAGCAAACAGG